UUUUACAUCACAGUUAGGUGAAUUUUUUAUUUAAAAAUUCCACUGUUAUCAGUAGUUCCAAGAAAUACCAAUUCGACAGCAUAUCUUCAUAAUGGCAAGCAACAAAUAACUCAACUUUAUGAGCCAUUGCGCCAGUCAAAGUCCCAUUUCAAUUUGAAUAACACUCGUGGCGAGUGUAGGAACCAACUCAAGAUAUGGGUGGAAUGGGAAGACCCUUGAGAGAUAAGACCUCAAUUGAAUCGGGCAAAAUGUUCAGCAUUAUUUAAUGGCAAAGAUCGCUGCUCCGCCCUCUAAGGUCUGUGGUAAGGUGUCUACAGCAGACAGAGCAGCCUCACACACACAGUCAUCACAGUCGUUCAAUGGAGAAUAUGCC
rnacentral:lncRNA from 1 species